rnacentral:lncRNA from 1 species
GCACAGCUCACAGCGUCGUCCCACAAGGCCAGCGUGUUUGCCACCUGGGCCCCUGGCAGCGCGACUGAACCUUCAGGGCCGAACCAAUGCCUGGAGGCCCCGGGAGAACGGGCGGGCGGAGUGGCUGCAGGUGGACUUCGGGAAGCUGAUGAAAGUCACGGGAGUGACAACCCAGGGAGUGAAGUCCAUCCUCACCAGCAUGUUCGUGAGAGAGUUCUUGCUCUCCAGCAGCCGAGAUGGCAAGCGCUGGACCUUCUUUCAUCAGAACCACCAGUCAAAAACCGCCAACCGGAGCAGCCUAUGCCAGGCUCAGGAGGGCGG